rnacentral:rRNA from 1 species
CUUCGGUGGGGAUUAGUGGCGAACGGGUGAGUAACACGUGGGCAAUCUGCCCUGCACUCUGGGACAAGCCCUGGAAACGGGGUCUAAUACCGGAUACGACCGUCUUGGGCAUCCUUGACGGUGGAAAGCUCCGGCGGUGCAGGAUGAGCCCGCGGCCUAUCAGCUUGUUGGUGAGGUAACGGCUCACCAAGGCGACGACGGGUAGCCGGCCUGAGAGGGCGACCGGCCACACUGGGACUGAGACACGGCCCAGACUCCUACGGGAGGCAGCAGUGGGGAAUAUUGCACAAUGGGCGCAAGCCUGAUGCAGCGACGCCGCGUGAGGGAUGACGGCCUUCGGGUUGUAAACCUCUUUCAGCAGGGAAGAAGCGAAAGUGACGGUACCUGCAGAAGAAGCGCCGGCUAACUACGUGCCAGCAGCCGCGGUAAUACGUAGGGCGCGAGCGUUGUCCGGAAUUAUUGGGCGUAAAGAGCUCGUAGGCGGCUUGUCGCGUCGGUUGUGAAAGCCCGGGGCUUAACCCCGGGUCUGCAGUCGAUACGGGCAGGCUAGAGUUCGGUAGGGGAGAUCGGAAUUCCUGGUGUAGCGGUGAAAUGCGCAGAUAUCAGGAGGAACACCGGUGGCGAAGGCGGAUCUCUGGGCCGAUACUGACGCUGAGGAGCGAAAGCGUGGGGAGCGAACAGGAUUAGAUACCCUGGUAGUCCA